CCUACGGGAGGCAGCAGUGGGGAAUAUUGGACAAUGGGCGAAAGCCUGAUCCAGCCAUGCCGCGUGUGUGAAGAAGGCCUUCGGGUUGUAAAGCACUUUCAGUGGGGAAGAAAGCCUUGGGGCUAAUACCCUCGAGGAAGGACAUCACCCACAGAAGAAGCACCGGCUAACUCCGUGCCAGCAGCCGCGGUAAUACGGAGGGUGCGAGCGUUAAUCGGAAUUACUGGGCGUAAAGCGCGCGUAGGCGGUCUGAUAAGCCGGUUGUGAAAGCCCCGGGCUCAACCUGGGAACGGCAUCUGGAACUGUCAGGCUAGAGUGCAGGAGAGGAAGGUAGAAUUCCCGGUGUAGCGGUGAAAUGCGUAGAGAUCGGGAGGAAUACCAGUGGCGAAGGCGGCCUUCUGGACUGACACUGACGCUGAGGUGCGAAAGCGUGGGUAGCAAACAGGAUUAGAUACCCUUGUAGUC
rnacentral:rRNA from 1 species